rnacentral:rRNA from 1 species
AGCGCAGACGGUUGAUUAAGUCUGAUGUGAAAGCCCGGAGCUCAACUCCGGAAUGGCAUUGGAAACUGGUUAACUUGAGUGCAGUAGAGGUAAGUGGAACUCCAUGUGUAGCGGUGGAAUGCGUAGAUAUAUGGAAGAACACCAGUGGCGAAGGCGGCUUACUGGACUGUAACUGACGUUGAGGCUGAAAGUAUGGGUAGCAAACA